rnacentral:rRNA from 1 species
CAGUCGCCGCGGUAAAACGUAGGGUGCAAGCGUUAAUCGGAAUUACUGGGCGUAAAGCGUGCGCAGGCGGUUAUAUAAGUCAGAUGUGAAAUCCCCAGGCUCAACCUGGGAACUGCAUUUGAGACUGUAUGGCUAGAGUGUGUCAGAGGGGGGUAGAAUUCCACGUGUAGCAGUGAAAUGCGUAGAUAUGUGGAGGAAUACCGAUGGCGAAGGCAGCCCCCUGGGAUAACACUGACGCUCAUGCACGAAAGCGUGGGGAGCAAACAGGAUUAGAUACCCGGGUAGUCCCUGUCUCUUAUAC